rnacentral:rRNA from 1 species
UGGGGAAUAUUGCACAAUGGGGGAAACCCUGAUGCAGCGACGCCGCGUGAGCGAAGAAGGUUUUCGAAUCGUAAAGCUCUGUCCUAUGAGAAGAUAAUGACGGUAUCAUAGGAGGAAGCCCCGGCUAAAUACGUGCCAGCAGCCGCGGUAAUACGUAUGGGGCGAGCGUUGUCCGGAAUUAUUGGGCGUAAAGGGUACGUAGGCGGUCUAUUAAGUCAGGUGUGAAAGCGUGAGGCUUAACCUCAUUAAGCACUUGAAACUGAUAGACUUGAGUGAAGGAGAGGAAAGUGGAAUUCCUAGUGUAGCGGUGAAAUGCGUAGAUAUCAUGAAGAACUCCGAUUGCGAAGGCAGCUUACGGGAGUGUUACUGACGCUUAAGCUCGAAGGUGCGGGUAUCGAACAGG